rnacentral:lncRNA from 1 species
GUGCCUAUGUAGCUGGAUGACAGAGAAUCAUUCUUUAUCCUGUAGAAAUUUCAGUGUAAACCACAAAUGUGAGAAUAGCUGGAGACAGUGACCCUCACUUUGAAAGAAAGCUGCUGGGCAUGCUCCUGUGGCAUCUGCUGCUAGAUAGUGUAGCAAGUCUGGGACUUUCAACCUCUGUCAGCUACUUGUAGCCUGUGUAGGGAGGAAAGAUGCUUGAAAAGGAAGCCAAUCAACAGCACUUGCUAAGUGCUCACUCGCACCUUGAGUGCAGUGACCUACCCUUUAAUAUCUGGGAGCCACUGUCCUCCUGGAGCUUCCCUAGUGGGGCUUGAGGGUGCUCUAACUUGUAUUCCUUCCUCUUACAGACCCUUGAGGAGCUAGGCUGUCUGUGAGACCAUCAGGCCUAAUCUUUCACUCGCCUGGCCAGAGGCUGUCUGAGGCUGCUCACCAGCUGAGCAGGGGAUGGAGGGGAGGAGUGGCUACUCUGCUGGGCAGGGUGACCAGGAAAGAGAGUACUCUUUAGGGCUUAAAGGACCUAAAGUCAAGAGGGUGCAGCUUUAGGAGUGGAGACUCCAAUAGAAGGAGGCAAUAAAUGUGUUGAUUGGUGAGUGGCCGGGAAAGAAAACGUGGCCAGAACCCUCAGGUAAGGAGAGCAUUGCCACCCAGCAAAACAGUACAGUGGGAAAGCCCCAGGGGUAGUUGGCAAAAUCCCUUCUGGUGACUCAGGAUCCCAUCUGUGAUGUGGGGAUAAUGGUAAAGAUAGGAAAAGUUAGAUAGGGGAUGGGUCAUGAACAGUUAACUUCAACUAAACUAAAAGUCAGGGCUUAAGUGAGUAAACAUCCCAAAGGGCCCAAAUUAACUUAAACAAACUGACCCUCAAGGUCUAAUAGAAUGCUAGGGACAAAAAUCAGGCUCUUAACCAAAUGGGAGAGGCCUUGGAGGAAGUGAAAUGCAAACAAAGCAGCUUGCUUUGGGGACAUCAAAGGCCUACCAGCAACCAGGAGCAGCCCUGCUUUCUGUCACAUAUUCCAGCCCCCAAAACUGUAUAAAAGGUCAAUGGACUUCAACGUCUAAGGUUUUUUACCCACCCCCAACAAGCGGGGAGCUCUUUUAUCUUAUUCUUUCUAAUAAACAAAACCACAAUUGGACAUUACUCAUCGCUUGCUGCUUGCUAUUUUGUCGGCUUUAAUCUCCGUUGCUCAGAAACCAAGACCUGAGAGCUAGAGAUAUCUGGUUACAAUGGUUCUUCCUCAUAGUGUUGUGAGAAUGGAACAUAUCAUGUAUGUAGAGAAUUUAGAACCAUGUUUAUUACCCAGAGUGGGAUAUGAUGGUAUUGCAUGCUGUCUUUGGCGCCCUCUGGUGGGAAAGACUCACACUACUAGUUCUUCCCCAGCAUAGUUCACCCACAUGCAGGGUCCUUGGCCAGGGGCAGCUUGCCCUGGUUGGACACUUCCAGUUCUGUCCUUGGCUGCUGCUCUCCAACAGUCCACCACUCUGGUUCCUCUUGAAUCUCACCCUUGUGCA